rnacentral:rRNA from 1 species
ACCCGCUGAACUUAAGCAUAUCAAUAAGCGGAGGAAAAGAAACCAACAGGGAUUGCCUUAGUAACGGCGAGUGAAGCGGCAACAGCUCAAAUUUGAAAUCUGGCCUUUGGCCCGAGUUGUAAUUUGCAGAGGAUGUUUCUGGCGAGGUGCCUUCCGAGUUCCCUGGAACGGGACGCCAUAGAGGGUGAGAGCCCCGUACGGUUGGUCGCUAAGCCUAUGUGAAACUCCUUCGACGAGUCGAGUAGUUUGGGAAUGCUGCUCUAAAUGGGAGGUACACGUCUUCUAAAGCUAAAUACCGGCUAGAGACCGAUAGCGCACAAGUAGAGUGAUCGAAAGAUGAAAAGCACUUUGAAAAGAGGGUUAAAAAGUACGUGAAAUUGUUGAAAGGGAAGCGCUCAUGACCAGACUUGGGCCGGUUGAUCAUCCAUCGUUCUCGGUGGUGCACUCUGCCGGCUCAGGCCAGCAUCAGUUUGGCUCGGGGGAUAAAGACUUCGGGAAUGUGGCUCUCUUCGGGGAGUGUUAUAGCCCGUUGUGUAAUACCCUGGGCUGGACUGAGGUACGCGCUCCGCAAGAAUGCUGGCGUAAUGGUUAU